AGGCUCCAGGCUCCGAGCCAUCAGCCCAGAGCCUGACGCGGGGCUCGAACUCACGGACCGCAAGAUCGUGACCUGGCUGAAGUCGGACGCUUAACCGACUGCGCCACCCAGGCGCCCCCCACUUCCCUUUUUAACUUAACUUUGUAAAGGCCCUAUUUCCAAAUAGGGUCACAUUCUGAAGUACUAGAGGUUAGGACUUCAAAAUAUCUUUUUUGAAGGGACACAAUUCAACCCAUAACAGUCUCCAUCCCGCCAAGCUAGUGGGAAACCGUUAGCUCCCUCUUCACCACACCCACAUACCUCCAGCCUGGGAAGGAGCUGCUGAUGUUUUUGGCCAAACCCGAGGACCUGGGAGAGCCCCUUGUCUUAAGUCUUAUUUGCUGCCUGGUGCCCAAGCUUGCGUGGUGUCUCCAAGUCAGCAGCCAGCCAGCCAUGCUUUGCCUGAAAGCCCCAAACCCCUUGCCUCACUGGCAACUCCAGUGUCCAGAGAGUUGGCUGGGUAAUAUGGCACCCUACAUAAGUAUCCUUUCUGAAUAUUGCCACUUCACCAGGGACCUGAGGGCUUGCUAGUCUUGACCCUAUUCGCCUUUUUCCUUUCCCUUCUCGAAGCCCGCAAAGGAAUCCCCUCAAGCAGUUCCAAAAGAAACAGAGCCACUGACAUUAAAUAGAUUGAUCACCAAACCUUCCCUGAGGAGAGGCCACUCAGAGCCUGCUUACUUCCAUAAAAUGGAGGGAGAGAAAAAGAUGAAUAACAAAGCUCGUAUAUCAGUGCCUUGUCCUGCCAUGCUUCUAACAGUGUGCCCAACAGAUAAGCCACAGGCCAGUUCACCAAGAGAGGCCACACUGGCUGGAACCUCAGACCUGAACAUGGCCUCCUCCUCCUCCACACUCAGUUCCAAGGCACUUGCCUACCUGAGCAGGUGUUGCUGGGACCUGCGGGUGACUCGGUGUGAAUGAGUUUUGCUGGGAUUGAGAGGACAUUGGGAAUGAGAUGACAAAGUCAGAGUCAUCUACUGGGAAUUGGACACAGAGCCCAGAGCAAGAACCGGAAGGGCACAGUUUGAGAAGAAAUUGAGGGGUCCAUAGUCUCUCCUGAAGGAGAAAAGAAGUGACCACGUGCUUGGGCAGAGGCUCUGUGGUAUAGGAAAUGUAUUUGGCCUUUGUCUUCAUUCCUGACACAGAACUCCUAAAAUCCUGGAAUUUCCUGAGUGGUAGGGAUGUCUUUUGUUAUCCCUGAAGAGCUCUUUCUGAUCACACCUUGGUUUAUGCUACUAGGGUGACUUGGAAUGCAGUUCCUAGAUUGCCAAGGGAUGUUUUGGGUCCUAGAAAGACCCAGGAUGGGGCUGGUUACUAGAAAACCAAGUGGUUAGAGAGUCGGAACUCCCAGCCCCACCUAGCAGCCACCAUGAAGAGUAGUAGGGGCUGGAGAUUAAGCUCUGUAAAAACUCUUGAUGUGAGAGGUUUGGUGAACUUCUGGAUUGGGGCGCACGUGCGCGCGCGCACACACACACACACACACACACACGAAGUGCUGGGGUAGUGUCAUGCACAGAGGGGCCACGGAAGCCCCACACCCCAGCCCCCGCACUUUGCUCUGUGUGUCUCCUCCACCUGGCUGUUCCUGACUGUUCCUUUAUAAGAAACCUGGUAAACAGAAGUGUUUCCCUGAGAUUCGUGAGCAGUUCUAGCAAACCAUCCAACCUGAGGAGGGGGACUGUAGGAACCCCUGAUUCAUAGCCAGUUGGCCAGAAGUAUGGGUAGUCUAGGACUUUUGACUGGUGUCUGAAGUGGGGCAGUCUUGGGACUGAGCCCCUAAAUGUGUAGAAUCUGCCACAGACUUCAGGUAGUGGGUGUCAGACUUGAAUUCAACAUUAGGGCACUCACUUGAUGUCCAGAGAUUUGGGGACAUCGUUGGUAUGGAAAAAAAACUCCACAGGUGUUGUCAGAGUUCUGAGUAAAAAUAGUCCAGAGUCAUCCUGACCCCAGAAGGCCAAGAGGAGCAGACUGGUGGAUUGAGGUGUCCCUGUGCUUGAGAUAGAGAACAGAGGACAGAGAAGGUCCCCCUGGGGCUCCCAGGGCCCUGAGGGCCCUUGUCACUUAGGUCCACAGGGCCAGAGACUCCUUUGUCUUUCACCACCUGUGAGAUUUCCUGUCACUAAGGAGACUCGCCAGCGACACCCACAGAGAAUGGUAGGUCCACAUGAGGCCGCCCGGCGGGGACAGGAUGGAAAGCAGAACCAUGGGGACACUUGUGCAGAGUCACACAACGGCUGCAGGAGACCAAAGAGUGCCUGAUAAGAGUAAGUGGGACGUGUACAUACAGCACGGUUGUGCACAUGCACACAUACGUACACGCACACUGAUGGAGCUUAGCUAACAUGCAUCUCAAAAUUUUAAAACGCAGUAGAUGAAUUAAAAGAAAUUGUAGUCAUUGUGAGAUUUGAGUUAGUGCCCUGGGAGAUCAGGCAUGAGACCUAUGUCAUUAACUAAGCUGCUGGAUUCCAAAUGCCCAAAACCUAUUGUCUUUCUCUGUACCGGCAGAAGUAACUAGAAAAAAUAUAUUUUUUAAUGGCGGCUUUUACAACCAGGUCAAGAAAACAUUGGAUACCUGGGAAGAAGUCUAAGGACGUUCAAACCCUCCACACUGAAAACUAUAAAACAUCACUGGAAAAAAAGAAGUCAAAGGAGACCUAAGCAAAUGGACAGAUAUACAAAGUUCAUGAAGAGGAAACCUAAAUAUUGUUAAAAUGUCAUUUAUUCAAAACUGGUUUAUAGAUUUAAAGUAAUCUCAAUUAAGAUGCCAGUAUUUUUUUUUUAACUGGCACGCUGAUUCUAAAAAUUCAUUGGGAAAUGCUCCCAUCACCAGUACUUGAGAAUUUUAAUUGUUCCAAAAUCUCAUCAAAUGUUGGUAUUGUCUUUUUAUUUUAUUUUGCUUUAUUUAAAAUUUUUUUAAAUAUUUAUUUGAGAGAGAGAGAGAGAGAGAGAGAGAGAGAGUGGGGGAGGGGCAGAGAGAGAGGGAGACCCAUGUCCUUCAUUUCCAGGGGGCUCUUCUGCUGAGAGACGCCACCAUGCACUCAAAGAUCUCAAACCCAGAAAAUACGACAGACGUUUCCUUCAGUGAUUCGCAGCUGGGUGAGCGCUGGAGUGCCAAGGGUUGAAGCAUGUCUUUCUUCCCCCUGACUCUCAAGAUGCCUGGGCAGCCACUUGGGAUCAUCACCCUUUCUUAUAGCCCCCUGGUGCCUGGUGGGAGAGCCAUGCCUCUCAGGCGUGUUGGGACGGCACAAUGAUUGAGAACCGAGGCACAAGUGGAUGAUCUCAGCGACUUCCAAAGUGGACGGGUGGAUGGCUUUCCCAAGGCUCCAGGAGAAUUAGAAUCCCAGGAAACCUACCUGUGGGGGUACAAGUAUUCUGAGCCGAGGUCUCUGUUUGGUGUGAGUCUUCUGAAACAACCUGAGACUGUUGCAUAUUCCAAGAUACUAAGUUUAAGGCUACUUAAAAAAAACCUGUAGGUUGCCAGAGUUUUCAUUGUCCUGCAUGUAUUUUACAGAAUAUUUUGUCUCUUCUUAAUAACACCUUUCUGUACUAACGUCUAGGAAGAUAACUCCGAGGUGGUAUAAGCAGCGCUGCUCAGAUUUCCACGUGCGUGUGAAUCACCCGAGGAUCCUGUUAAGAUGCAGAUUCUGAUUCCGAAGGUGAAGGGAGAACGUUCAACCAGUGCGUGAUCCUUCUAACCUCAGAGUCCUCCUGAACGUGGGGCCCCAUAGCACCGUCCGGUCACACACCCACGAGGCCGGCACUUUUCCCAGGUGAUGCCAUCAUGAGCCAGUCUGUAAAACUGGACUCUUCCUUAGACUCUGAGUUCUCAAUAUGGCAGCUCUGACCUGAAUUCCAUCAAGAGAAGUUAGUUCCUCCCGCACCCAAAAUCUCUCACUGUAAGGUGGUCUGGAGAUGAGAGGCCUCAGGUAUCCAACAGUGCGCGGACGGUACAAGGUCCACAUCCACUUACACCUGUCUUCAGAAUUUACUGAUUUGGCGAGACGAUAAACAAGUGAUCGUUGUAUAAACCAAUGGGGCGCUGUAUAAAUAUUGGCCCCUCUACUGUAAGAUGCCAUCAACUUGCAACUCGGUGAGAGAAACUGACGCGAGGCCCUCUGGUGCCUUCCUAUGUGUCAGUUCCCAAGUUCAAGCCAGCUCGGCUAUUGUAGAUCCCUGAAAUUCCGUUUAAGUGAAUACCAGAGAGAGAGGAUCCAGGGCGGGCGAAGAAACUGUGAUGAGGAUCUUCAGUGCUUCCGGGAGGCACUGAAAUGUGAAAUAAUUAACCUUUGGAAAGCCUGCGUGGUGACUUGGUGUUUUUCCACCCCACUGAGGCUAAAAGGUUAAUUAAUUUUCCCUGUGUGUAAGAACCAGCCCUACAAUUUAGAAGUGAUGGCCGGAUGCCCCUACCUCCUGAGCAGCAGUGGGAUGGGGGUAUUCUCUUUGUGGGGGUCACCCACCCACGGGGCCGGAGCUCCGGGAGAGUCUCCCAUUCCCUCUCACCCUUUACCUUUGGCCCCCACGGGUGCCUCUGUGGUGUUCUGCCAGAGGUGCCUUCGGGGACCUGCUCCGGGCCCCAUCUGUCUUCCUGCUGGUGACCUCUAUGGGUGCCCCUCCGGGGCUGGUGUUGUUUUCCGGUUUGGCCUCGUCAGCGUCACCACCCACCCUCACAGACGUGGAAUUUCGGAGAAGAAGUGCCCAUUUACCAGGGAUGUGGCCUCGCCCUCCGGGCCAGCUGGCUCAGUGCCAGGACAGCCCUGCCAGGAUGGUCCUCUCUGUUCCGAAAGGAGGCCCCAGAGGUGGAUGCAUCUGUCAGAGCUUGUUCUUUUACGAAUAAUUAGUGCUCUGGUUUUCAGUUUACUGCGAAAUGUGGUGCUGGAGUCCGUUCCUCACCCGGAGUUGAUAAAAGAACUCUCCAUCUUCUUCUCUUGUCCCUUGAUAACUGUGGUUGUCCGCCCGACUGCACAGCAGAAUCACCCAGGGUGCUUUAGAAGAUACUCAUGUGUGGGGCGCCUGGGGGGCUCACUCAGCGAAGCAUCUGACUUCAGCUUAGGUCCUGAUCGCAUGGUUUCGUGGGUUCGAGCCCUGCAUCGGGCUCUGCGUUGACAGUGUGGACCUUGCUUGGGAUUCUCUCUCUUCCCUCUCUCUGCUCCUCCCCCACUCACGCUUUCUCUCUCUCUCAAAAUAAAUAAAUAAAUAAGCUUUAACAAUACAUAAAUAAUAAACAACAAAAUACUCAUGUGAGUCCUACCCCGAGGCCAAUUAAAUCAGCAUCUCUGAA